GCGGUUGUGGCGGAACCGGUAGACGCACAGCAUUGAGGGUGCUGUUCCUAGUCAAUCAGGAGUGGAAGUUCGAGUCUUCUCAGCCGCA
rnacentral:tRNA from 1 species